GCCUCGGGGCCCCGCAGCGCUUUAGGGCGGAGAACCAAGUUUGUGUGGGUGCUUCUUCCUGGGGGCCCUCGGGCUGCGCCAGGUGUGAGACCAGAAUGCCAAUUUGGGGAAUCUCUCCUGUUCUUUCCUUUUUAAUUUUUUCUACUUGUCCUUGACAAGGGCCUAUUCCCACUGGAUCUGCAGGUGACUAUUUGCUCUUCCUAGGUCGCCAGUCUUUGAUUUCAGCUAGUGACCCUGGGCGGGAAGACACCCUGUUCACCCUCAUCCUGACCUCCGCCCCCCACCUCUUCAGCCAACUUUAUCUUGGAUCUCUGCUCUCUUUAUCUUUUCUCUAGAGCUGGGCCAGGGCGCUAGCUGGAAGCUUGGGGUUAAAUGGUGCAGGAACGUAGAGGCGGAGGAGUCCCUGGGAUUUUCCACGUCUAUUUCCCCACCCCCACCCCAGCCGCAGGGGUCCAGUUUGGACUGACCCAACCUCCCGCUUUCUCUUUGUAGGCGAUCAGUGGGUGACCGCGGCUGCGAGGGACUUUGUCAUCCGUCCUCCAGGAUCUGGGGAGAAAGAGCCCCAUCCCUUCUCUCUCUGCCACCAUUUCGGACACCCCGCAGGGACUCGUUUUGGGAUUCGCACUGACUUCAAGGAAGGACGCGAACCCUUCUCUGACCCCAGCUCGGGCGGCCACCUGUCUUUGCCGCGGUGACCCUUCUCUCAUGACCCUGCGGUGCCUUGAGCCCUCCGGGAAUGGCGGGGAAGGGACGCGGAGCCAGUGGGGGACCGCGGGGUCGGCGGAGGAGCCAUCCCCGGAGGCGGCGCGUCUGGCGAAGGCCCUGCGGGAGCUCGGUCAGACAGGAUGGUACUGGGGAAGUAUGACUGUUAAUGAAGCCAAAGAGAAAUUAAAAGAGGCACCAGAAGGAACUUUCUUGAUUAGAGAUAGCUCGCAUUCAGACUACCUACUAACAAUAUCUGUUAAAACAUCAGCUGGACCAACUAAUCUUCGAAUCGAAUACCAAGACGGAAAAUUCAGAUUGGACUCUAUCAUAUGUGUCAAAUCCAAGCUUAAACAAUUUGACAGUGUGGUUCAUCUGAUCGACUACUAUGUUCAGAUGUGCAAGGAUAAGCGGACAGGUCCAGAAGCCCCCCGGAACGGCACUGUUCACCUUUAUCUGACCAAACCGCUCUACACGUCAGCACCAUCUCUGCAGCAUCUCUGUAGGCUCACCAUUAACAAAUGUACCGGUGCCAUCUGGGGACUGCCUUUACCAACAAGACUAAAAGAUUACUUGGAAGAAUAUAAAUUCCAGUUACUGGGAGUGGGGAGGCAGUUGUGAGGCAUGAGUACCUGUGAAAUUGGAAAAAGUUCUGAGUUACUGCUCGCAAGUGACUAAUUAUGAGAAGGCUGGAGGACAGCACAAACAUCUCUGGAGUGUGCCAUGAAACCUAUUGCCUUAUAUUUCAAUCUUCCAUAUUGCAAGUAAGUUGAUAAACAUCAGGAGGCAAUUAUUUUUGGUUUUGUUUUGUUUUUUUACGAUAACUGACGUCAUUUAUUUAUUGAGUUUAUUGUGAACCAGGUUCUCACUCAGCACUUGUAUUAUCUCAUUUAAUUUUCCCAAGAACGAAAUGAGCAAAGUACAAUGAUGAUAGGAGGUUCCCCUCCUGAUUUGUGAGUCAAGAGGCAUUCCAGGAAUAUCCUAGCUCUUUUUUUUUUUUUUCCUGGGAGAGGAAUUGGGAAGAGCAAAUUGCUGCUGAAAAUUUCUACAUUGAUCCAGACAAACAAGUUAGAGCAGGCUGAAAAAGAACCCUUGGUGUUUUUACUGCUGUUCAACCAGAUCAACUGGAAAAGUAUAGAUACCUUAAUUAGCACUGUGCUCUGUGGGAUUCUGGUCAGCCUGGCCCAGUGGUUUUUUCCCCCUGAACACACCUGAAAGGGGAGCUCAUAAUGACUGCUGUGCAGGUGGGCGGGGAGGGGGCUUCCUAUUUGAUUUAGUGGCUGAUCAAUGCCAGUUACCAAUUAUUGGUGCCCCAAUUAUACAUGGUGGAAAAAAAGUACACUUGUCUAAAUUAUCCUCACCAAAGCCUGGAAAAAUAUCCAGUGUUUUCUCCCAAUGUAGGGCAAUUUAGGGCAUUUGUGAGGAUAUUUAUUAUUGUUGUUGUUGAAGAAUAUGGUAUACAAGACUUAUAUAUCCCCAAACUCUGAAAAUAUUUUGACCUCAGUUUCUGUUCUGGGCAGAGAUGAGGCAGUGCAGUUUUUCAUGACCAUUACAGUGAGCAGUGGUGAUUGCUUUUUAGGGACUUGGAGAUUUUUUGGAACUUUGGGUAGUGGAGAAAAAGGCAGUUCAGCUUAUGAGAUGAGAGGUCUUUUUUGGUGUGUCAGUAAGAAAGUCUUGACUUCAUAAUAAUUAUGUAAUCCAAAUAGGUAACAGAAUGGGACAGUUGUUUGGGAGUGUUUAUUUUCUUGGGAAGGAUUUUCUCUGCUUUUAGAAAAGUGUACCCUGUUAGGAGGGUAGGAGACAGAGACGUCAUCUUCGUCAAAUAAUCCAAAGGAUGGAAUGUCCUGAGACCAGGCUGUGCCCUUCUCAGUUGUGAGUUUAGGCACGGGGUAGGUGGGGUUUGAGUGGCUGUGGUUAUGUCUAACAGCUGGGCUGAAGUCUCCGUCUUUAAGUGGUCCUUUCUAUCCUUUAGAGCAAAACAAUGUUCUUGCAGGCCUUUCAUUUACUUAAGAGGUCUUCUGUAUUCUCCUUUCCCAGUUUUUUUUAACUUCUUAGAAUUUUAAAGCUUGAAACCACUUUUUAGAUCACAUAUUAUGGAUUUUAUGGAAGACUUUCAGAUCCAGAGGGGCUGGGAGAGUUGCAUGCUCACACACACACACACACACACACACACACACACAGGCACACAACCCAGCCAAUCAAUGACAGAGUCAGGAUUCAAACGCAGAUAUUUUAGUUUUAGGAUUACUAUUUGUAAAAGUUGCACGCUCCUACCCUUUGAUAAAAUUGCCGAGACUCUUCUUUGCUUUCCUGCAAGCCCUACAGUUCUCUUAACAUCAUAUAUUUCUUCCGCUGGGAUUCAGAAGCCAGGCCUGUGGAAUACCCUGUGGGAUAAUUACAGUUCUUGGCCUCCUCUACCCGAUUCUGAAAAAUCUGCCUCUGCUGGAUUUCAUGAUGUCUUGAUCCACAUUAGUUUUUUGUUAAUUUUAACUCCUUAACAUUUCUAAUCUGUUUGCUGUUUUAAAAUCCAAAACCUCCCAUCCAUGCUGUUUGAUGAUCUCAUUUCUACCUCCACCAGAUGUGAUACACACCCAGCCACAAUGCCCGGGCGACUGCCCACCCUCCCAUCCUUACCAGCAGGACCCAUUCUUGCUUUUGCCCAUUCAUGGGCAUAAGGGAUAGUUAAUUCCUGCCUUACUUUCUCCCUUUCCUAUCAUAAAGUUGCCCUCUUGCCUUAAUCUAACACAGCCUUUCUGGCCGCAUGAUACUCCAGGGAAAGAGGAUAAUUAUACUCUCCUUGAGUUGGGUAAUUGAAUGAUUUGGACUACCUUAAGAUUAAAUCUCUUUGUAUCUCUUUUUGGUUCCAUUCAGGUUGUGAAGCAAGUAGCCAGCCCCAGAUGCCACACUUUUGUUAUGGGCAUUUUUUUUUUUUAAUCUACUUAUUUUUUAAAUAUGGCAGGCUUCUUUUUCAGUGUUAAGUUAAACUUCAUUUGCACGGAAUAAAAAUGCCCUCCAUUCCUUUGCUUCUGCUGCUGUAUGUCUAUAAGUAAGAAUGAUUCUGUGAGAGUUUUGUUUCAUUUCUUCAUAUGCGUGGUUCUUAUAUUCUCAUCUUCACAUAUUUUUGAUUUUUCUAACUUUUCCUCUGCGUGGCUUGAGUUCAGGUGACUUUAUUACUAAGGUAAUAAAGGUAACAACUAUUGUUAGAGUGGCCUCUGAAAGUCCUGGAGUCCCCAGUGUCUGAAGUCAUGGAGCAGAGCUGGCUUUUCCUAUCUACCCCUUCCUGAGCUUUGUCAGCAAAGGAGGCUGGAUCAGCUAAGUGUGCCACAGAGAAUAGGACUUACUUCAAUAAACAUGUAUUUGUAAAGAUAAAACUAACUGCUUUUACAGACAACUCUCACUUUGACCCACAUCCUUAACUUAUAGGCAUUCUGACUUGCCCUAGAUCAGAAGUGCAUUUUGUGAUGUAUUAUUCACGUGGCUUUGCCUCUCUUAGAGAAAGGCUUGCCAGAGUCCUAGUGAGAGAAAAGGAAAUAUCGCCAGCUGCCUUCUCCUGUCUCAGCAUAAAUGCCACCCAAGGAGCCCCCUUGCCAUGGUGGGGUGAGACUUUUUCGCCAGUUAAACCAUCACACAACUUCAUAAAAUUUUCCUACAUCUCCCCAGUUUCCAGUUUCCUACAGUGUUAAAGAUAAAAACUUGUUUGUUUGUUUGUUUUUGCUAAGCUUUUUUUCCCUUCUGUUAGUUUGGUAUCCUUUUUCCUGUUUAGUGUUUGGUCCAGAAUGCUGCUGUGAUCUUUAACAUUCAGAAAAAAUCCAUGUUAGCCAGGCACGGUGGCUCAUGCCUGUAAUCCCAGCACUUUGGGAGGCCAAGGUGGACGGAUCACUUGAGGUCAGGAGUUCGAGCCGGCCUGGCCAACAUGGCGAAACCACAUCUCUACUAAAAAUACAAAAAUUAGCCAGGUGUGGUGGCGCACACCUAUAGUCCCAGCUACUUGGGAGGCUGAGGCAGGAGAAUUGCUUGAACCUGGGAUGCAGAGGUUGCUGUGAGCGGCAAUCUUACCACUGCACUCCAGCCUGGGCAACAGAGUGAGACUGUCUCAAAAAAAAAAAAAAAAAAAGAAAAGGAAAAGAAAAAGAGGCCAUGUUAUUUCUACCCAGAGAAAGUUGUUUGACUUCCCAUUUUAACAUUCCCCCUUGCCAUCUUGAUGAACUUGACCCAUCUUAGGUUUCCAGCAUAGCUUGUUUCUCUUCAUUUUUAUUUCUAGGUUGUGGCCAUCAAUUCUGUAUUUGGUCAGAAAGUGUCUUUGUAUUUUGCAUAUUGGAUUAGAGCAUCUGCUCUUAAUUAUCUGUAGGAAUAAGAGGCAGAGAGACUGGGGAAUAGUAGAAGCCCAUAAACACAUCUAGCCAAUAGUUUCAACUUCCUCCCCAUUCUAUCUCCUUUGCUAGAACCACUGACAGAAAAAUCAGCUGCUUCUCUGUUCUCUCAUUUUAUUUUCCUUGUCCAUCAUGUGAUAGGGAUGUUAAUAUGCAACAAACUGGCUAAAAAAAUAUCAAGAGAGAAAAGUAAGGGAGAUGGAGCAUCAGUAGUGUGUGGAGGCUCCUGAGAGUCAAUUACUAAAAACUGAGAGAUUUUGUGAGCUCAAUCAUUAUGCAUAAAUUAUUGAUAGAUUGAAUCAGCCAUGGUGGGAGUAUUACACCACAGAAAUAGGCAGAUGCUAUAAAUUAAGACUCUCCGCCACCAGAUAGCUGAUUUAACAACAUAGCACUGAUCUAGGUAUUAUGUCCUCCUCAAUAAUUGAGACCUCAUUAGGGUAAGAUCAGUUUAUUUGUAGCCUCUUUUAUACCAAGCCCAGUGCUUAGAGCAGAAUAGGAGUGAACAAUUCAAGGAAUGAUUUUUUUUUUUAGUGUGUGUCAAUCUUAUAUUGGGUUACAUUGUCUUCUACUAUGGAUCAGGCCAUCUCCUGAUUCUGUGUCUUUUUCUAGUUACUCUGGGGUAUCUGUAGCUACCUUUUCAAUUUCUUAGUAGGAAGGUGUUAGGCAAUCUCAGCAUCAUGUGAUCAUUGUUUACAACGACUCAGCUCUAAUAGAUCAGGGCCUCUUUUUUCCUUCUAGCUUCGUUCAUUUAUCUCAUUAGUUUUCUCUUUUUUUUCCUUCCUCCCUCCCUUCUCACCUGCUUUCUCCCUCCUUCUCUCCUUUCUGCCAACGUUUAUUGAAUGUCUACUGUAUUACUCAACAGUAGGAAGUGUUCUUUCGUUGAGGGAGCUCUUACAGACUAUGGGAAAGGAUGGAGAGGAUGGGGACUAACAUUUAUUAAACAGUCUAAUAUAUCCCAUACCCUGCUUAGCCAUUGCAUUUCAUCUUCACAACAACCUGAUGAGGUAUGUAUGACCCUCAUUUAUUCCAAAUGAAACAGAAACUUAGGUCAAAUAUCCUGCCCAGUCAAGUAGGGAAGUCAUGAAUCAAACCCAGGUUCUGCAUCUCAGGAUACCAUAUUGUAUAGGAGCUGUAAUUACAUGAAUAACUUAUUGUAAAAUGCACUGUUAAAGGCAGCGUAGUUACUUUGCGGACAGGGUGCCAUUGACCUGCUUUGAGGGUUUAUGAAGACAAGCCCCCAGAGGAAGGUAUCUUGUGUCUGAGUGUUAAUAGGCUGGAAGGAGUCCUCAGACCUGCUGAGUGGGGAAGAUCUUUUGGCUGAAAGGUUGAAGAAGAGGGUAGAGAUGAGGCUUCUGGGAGGUGCUGUCUGAGGGUGACUUGGGGCAGAUCUUGCAGGCCUGGCUGAAAACCUUGGAAUUUAUCCUGAGGGCAGUAGGGAGCAGAUGUCAGCUUUUUAAAUGGAGGGGAAAACAACAGAACUAAGUUUGUGUUUUAUAUCAUCCCUCUGGAGGUCCUUUGGAAAAAUGGCUUGGAACAAAGCAAGGGCGGAGUGAGGGAGACCGGUUAGGUGUUAGGUAGGAGGGAGGUAGUCCUUGUGAGAAGAUUGGAGAGAGAGUCAGAGGUUGACUCUUUCCUUCCUUGGCUGCAGGCUCAGAUUUGCCCUGGAGUAUGGGGCUUUGAGUCACACAGAUUGCACGCUUCCCUUUGAGGAGCGGCUUCCACUUUGGGCAAGUUGGGGUAACUGGCACAGAUUCUAUUCUCAGGAAAGCAAGAGGUCGCGGUGCAGCAGGCACAACCCUGAACUAGGAAUUGGAAAACUUGGGGUCCACUCUGGUUCUCUGACCUUGGGCCAAACAUUGAAUCUCUGUUAUCUGUAAAUUGAAGAGCCUGGAGCCUUCAGGAUUUUUGGUCCCUUCCAAGAAGGUCCCCAUCUGCCCAGAUGUGAUAGUACAUUGGGGUGGGAGUGCUCAGAGGAGAGGCGGGCUCCACCUAUCAGUGGAGUCUCAGUUUCUACGUAGAUUGUAGUAUAGAUUUUACCUCUAUGCCAUAAUAUAUUCUCAUUUAUUUUGAAAAUAUACUUCCUUCUUAACUCUGGGUUUUUUUUUUUUUUUUUCACAGCCAGCUGUUUUUUAUCCUGGUUAGAAGAAUUUUGUGUUUUCUUUUAGCUAUGGAUCUUUGAACAUUACCCUAUCAUUGAAGAGAUUUGACUUGGGUUUUUAGUUGUUGGUUGUCAUGGAGAAACAGGAAUCUGGUGUAUGCCAGCCAUCAUCAUCAUCAUCAUAACCCUUUGGAUGAAUUUUCAUUAUCAAGGGAUCUGGAGGGCUGUCUUCGCUCUGCUCCCCAGCUAACAAACAGAUGUGUUCCCAGAAGAUGAUGGGCAUAGGUUUUUCAGGUACUGCAAAACAGUGUCUCUCCUUCGUGUAAGCCAAAAGGAAAGAUCUCAAGCCUUGAAGUGAAAUAUACAUAAUUCAUCCCUCAGUAUCUUCAGGGAUUGAUCCCAGGACUCCCGCCCCUGCCCCCCCAAAAGCCCUGCCAAGGAUACCAAAAUCUGAAGAUGCUUAAAUCUCUUAUAUGAAACGGUAUAGUAUUUGCAUAUAACCUGCAUACACCCUCACAUAUACCUUAAAUCAUCUCUAAAUUACUUAAUAAUACCUAAUACAUGUAAAUACUAUGUAAAUAGUUGUUAUACUAUAUUUUAAAGGUUUGUAUUAUUUAUUAGUAUUGUAUUGUUAUUUUUUAUUGCUUUUUUUCCCCUCCCCCAAAUAUUUUCGUUCUGUGGUUGGUUGGAUCCGUGGAUGGGAAACCCACGGGUACAGAGGACUGACCAUAUUAAAGAGCUAGGGCUACUAACCUCAAAAAGUUUCCGAAUGACCGGAAGUUCUUCUGAUCUUCACAAACAUCUCUUGGGCUUCCUCACUUGCUAAAAUUAAACCUGUCUUUUCUCCAGUGUCAAUAUUCAAGAUAAAUAAAUUAUGUUCACAUUCA